rnacentral:rRNA from 1 species
UACGUAGGGGGCUAGCGUUGUCCGGAAUCAUUGGGCGUAAAGCGCGUGUAGGCGGUCCGGUAAGUCCGCUGUGAAAGUCGGGGGCUCAACCCUCGAAUGCCGGUGGAUACUGUCGGGCUAGAGUGCGGAAGAGGCGAGUGGAAUUCCUGGUGUAGCGGUGGAAUGCGUAGAGAUCCGGAAGAACACCGGUGGCGAAGGCGGCCUGCUGGGCAGUGCUGACACUGAGGCGCGACAGCGUGGGAGCAACAGG